rnacentral:ribozyme from 1 species
GUUGAGGGAAGGAACACAAGAACAAGGAAAGUGGAAAAGGAGAUGGGAGAUGGGAGAGGAAAGGAUCAGCCACCUUUCCAGUUUUUUUGUUUUGUUUUUUUUCU